UCCGUGGUGGCUCAGAGAUUAAAGCAUCUGCCUGCAAUGCGGGAAUCUCAGGUUCAAUCCUUGGCUUGGGAA
rnacentral:tRNA from 1 species